UUUAAGCAUGAGUAAGAGCAAUAAUGGUUCCUUUGGAGCUCCUAAAUGCAUUAGCAUGUGCUAAAACCAUAAAUAUUCAAGGAGAUGCAGCGCUGGAAAAGACAGAAACCCAAGGUGACCUGGCACGAAGCAGGAGAUGGAUCGAGAACUUCAAAACUUCUUCAGACUAGGACAUUCUGAGAAUCCUGGAAAGGAGAUAGUCUGCAAAAAAAACCAGGAGACCUGCCAGACAUGGGUAAGAAGAGCUGUGAAGAUGGAGACCAACACUGGAGUUAGGCCAGAAGCCAAAGAAUGCUGAGGGUUGCUGGGAGCCACCAGAACCUGGAGGAGAGGUGCGGAACAGAUACUUCCUCAGAGCCUUCAGAAAGAACGACCCCUGCUGAUCCUUUUGGGGGUCUGGCCUCUAGAACUGUAAGAGAAUAAAUGUCUAUUGUUUUAAGCCA